GACAGAGGGUGCUAGCGUUGUUCGGAAUUACUGGGCGUAAAGGGCGCGUAGGCGGCUUGUUUAGUCGGGUGUGAAAUCCCGGGGCUCAACCCCGGAACUGCAUUCGAUACUGGCAGGCUAGAGACCGGAAGAGGUGGGUGGAAUACCCAGUGUAGAGGUGAAAUGCGUAGAUAUUGGGUGGAACACCGGUGGCGAAGGCGGCUCACUGGUCCGGUUCUGACGCUGAGGCGCGAAAGCGUGGGGAGCAAACAGG
rnacentral:rRNA from 1 species